UGGGGAAUUUUGGACAAUGGGCGAAAGCCUGAUCCAGCAAUGCCGCGUGAGUGAAGAAGGCCUUCGGGUUGUAAAGCUCUUUUGUCAGGGAAGAAACGGUGAGAGCUAAUAUCUCUUGCUAAUGACGGUACCUGAAGAAUAAGCACCGGCUAACUUCGUGCCAGCAGCCGCGGUAAUACGAAGGGUGCAAACGUUGCUCGGAAUUAUUGGGCGUAAAGCGCACGUAGGCGGCUUGACAAGUCGGAUGUGAAAUCCCCGGGCUCAACCUGGGAAUUGCAUUGGAGACUGCAAGGCUAGAAUCUGGCAGAGGGGGGUAGAAUUCCACGUGUAGCAGUGAAAUGCGUAGAUAUGUGGAGGAACACCGAUGGCGAAGGCAGCCCCCUGGGUCAAGAUUGACGCUCAUGCACGAAAGCGUGGGGAGCAAACA
rnacentral:rRNA from 1 species